rnacentral:rRNA from 1 species
GACGAACUGUCCUAACGUUGUUCGGAAUCACUGGGCUUAAAGCGUGUGUAGGCGGGCCCGUAAGUGUCUUGUGAAAUCCCACGGCUCAACCGUGGAACUGCUGGGCAUACUGCGGGUCUUGGGCCAACUAGGGGCAGCCGGAACAAGCGGUGGAGCGGUGAAAUGCGUAGAUAUCGCUUGGAACGCCGAAGGUGAAAACAGGCUGCUGGGGUUGCGCCGACGCUGAGACACGAAAGCCAGGGGAGCAAACGGG